CAGGAAGACAGAAUGACAGAAUACUUAUUUUACGCAUUCUUUGGAUUCCUUGCCAUCUCCCAUUUCUUUUCUGUAUUUUUUUAUUUCUUCUUCUUACAGGAUUUUACAUGUAUUGGGACUGCAUCUUCUCAUUGCUUGCAAUUCUCCACUGCUCUGAUGUGAUCACUUUCUGGUUUGCAAUUUAUACCUGUUUGCUGCUAGAUGUUAAAACCCAAUGACAUCCUUAGCAGUUUAUGAGACUACAGUCUGCACCAGUGAAACACCUCCCUAACCCCAAAAUGAGACAAAACGCCUGGGGCCUGCACACCUGGAAGUAGGACUGGAAGAAUGUAACAUACUGUUCUGAAGACUGGGGAUACUGAAAAUAGUUUAUAUUCUGACAAUGAAAUCAAAGGUUAAGGUUCUUCCUGUCCCUUCUUGUUUUUCAAAUGAAUAUUCAUGCUUACUAACAUCUUAUCCAAAAGGCCAAGACUUCGGUACAGGUUUGGAAAUACCGCAUGCUAUGAGCUUUCGUUUUUCUGUGGUUUGCUCCUGCCUUUAAAUCAUUAAUAGAAGUAUUAAAAAAAAAAAGAAUUAAUCCGUAUGAUACUCCACUAAAUUUCCUUCCUGGCAUAACUAAACAUAGUGUCUCAAUAUCAGUGCGCAGAGAGUGAGACUAGUUUUUUUUCAAUCUGUCUAGAAAUUUCCAACUGUGGUAUAUGGAGAGCUGCCUGGUGGUCCCUAUAGACUUGACUGAUCACAUGCUACUGGCUCUGCAUCUUUUCCAGCUGCU
rnacentral:lncRNA from 1 species